AUUGAACGCUGGCGGCAGGCCUAACACAUGCAAGUCGAACGAGUGGCGGACGGGUGAGUAAUGUCUGGGAAACUGCCCGAUGGAGGGGGAUAACUACUGGAAACGGUAGCUAAUACCGCAUACCAUCGGAUGAGCACAGAUGGGAUUAGCGAGUAGGUGGGGUAACGGCUCACCAAGGCGACUAUCCCUAGCUGGUCUGAGAGGAUGACCAGGCACACGGUAACUGAGACACUGUCCAGACUCCGACGGGAGGCAGCAGUGGGGAAUAUUGCACAAUGGGCGCAAGCCUGAUGCAGCCAUGCCGCGUGUAUGAAGAAGGCCUUCGGGUUGUAAAGUACUUUCAGCGAGGAGGCGUUACUCGAAGAAGAAGCACUGGCUAACUCCGUGCCAGCCGCCGCGGUAAUUC
rnacentral:rRNA from 1 species